rnacentral:Y_RNA from 1 species
GGCUCCUCUGAAUGUAGAGUUACUUCAGUUAUUGUUCAGUCAGUUACAGAUAGAAUUCCUUGUUCUACCUCCCCCACCCACUUCACUACUGCAGUUGACUAGUCUUUU